GAUGAACGCUGGCGGCGUGCCUAAUACAUGCAAGUCGAGCGAACAGAUAAGGAGCUUGCUCCUUUGACGUUAGCGGCGGACGGGUGAGUAACACGUGGGUAACCUACCUAUAAGACUGGAAUAACUCCGGGAAACCGGGGCUAAUGCCGGAUAACAUUUAGAACCGCAUGGUUCUAAAGUGAAAGAUGGUUUUGCUAUCACUUAUAGAUGGACCCGCGCCGUAUUAGCUAGUUGGUAAGGUAACGGCUUACCAAGGCAACGAUACGUAGCCGACCUGAGAGGGUGAUCGGCCACACUGGAACUGAGACACGGUCCAGACUCCUACGGGAGGAAGCAGUAGGGAAUCUUCCGCAAUGGGCGAAAGCCUGACGGAGCAACGCCGCGUGAGUGAUGAAGGUCUUCGGAUCGUAAAACUCUGUUAUUAGGGAAGAACAAAUGUGUAAGUAACUGUGCACGUCUUGACGGUACCUAAUCAGAAAGCCACGGCUAACUACGUG
rnacentral:rRNA from 1 species